AGGACGAACGCUGGCGGCGUGCCUAACACAUGCAAGUCGAGCGAGGCUCCUCCUUCGGGAGGAUGUCCUAGCGGCGAACGGGUGAGUAACACGUGGGCAACCUGCCCUCAGCUCUGGGAUAACUCCGGGAAACCGGGGCUAAUACCGGAUACGACCUCCACGGGCAUCUGUGGAGGUGGAAAGUUUUUCGGCUGAGGAUGGGCCCGCGGCCUAUCAGCUAGUUGGUGGGGUGAUAGCCCACCAAGGCGACGACGGGUA
rnacentral:rRNA from 1 species